UAUAAAAAUUCUAACAAAACAUAUAAAAUAUAUACAUGUAUAUAUAACUUAAACUAAAAAUAUUGUAUGAAAAAUCAAUAUCCCUAAAAUUAUUUUUUUAAUUUAAUUUAUACAGACUAUAUUACACAACGAUUUCCAAAAACUGAUAUAUGAUCUUUUUUAAUAGUCGUGUAUACAUUAUAAAUAAUUCAACCUCCAAUAUUAAUAACAUAGCUAUUUAAUAUCUACAUAUAAUCAUAAAUUAUUUGAUGUAUUAAUCAUAUAAAUUAAAGUAAAUAAUAAUGUUUUUAAUAUAUUCUUAUUAUAAUAAAAAAUUGAAAACCAAAUCAAUAAAAUGUAUAUAAUAAAUAUGUUAUUAGGGUGGAUAUUUCAUAGAAAAAUGACCAUAAAAUCAAUCAUAAAAAUUAGUGUUUAAAGCCUUUUGAAUAAUUUCCAAUAAAUUUCUAAAAAUUAUUUUACAGAUUAUACUCUUAUAUUCAUAUAAUAAUUUUAUUUAUCAAAAAAUUUUGAUUUUAUACAUAUUUCCGAUAUUCAUGAUAGUCAGUGUUAUAGAAAUCGGGAAUCAGACAUAAUCGGUUGAGCUACCGAUUCAGGGAUUAAUCGGAAAGAUUAAUCGGAGUGAAAAGCGGAUAUGUUUUAAUAUUAAAAUAUUAUUUAAUAUUUAGUUAUUAUUAUAUUAGUAAUUUAGUAAUUACUAUAUGAGUAAAGUUCUAUGAAACCACUUAUAUUUUGGAGAGCGUGGAGACCGUUGAUAUUCUGCUAGUAAAAUAUGCAUAAAAAUAUUGAAAAACUCAUAAUUUUGCAAAUCAUGUUGUACAAAAUCAUUAUAUCAUUUAAAAUCUUGAAUAUCAUGUAUGUUUUACAUGUUGAAUAUUAUAUAAUAUUUUAUCCGGCAGAAUAUGUUUAGUUUGCAGAACAUUUGUUCCAUUUGCGGAACAUACACAUUCUACUUAUUAAACAUAGAUGUUCAUCAAUAAUUUUAAUGAACUGGUGAUAUUUCUUCACAAAAUAAUGUAUACUGCAGUAUUUUGAUUUGCAAAAUUAUGAGUUUUGUAAUGUUUUUAUGCAAUAUUUUACUUGCAAAACAUAAAUGGUCUCUACGGUCUCCAAAUAAAGUGGUCUCCAUAGAACUUUACUCUAAUUAUAUUUACUAAUAUUCAUAAACUUUAUAAUUAUUCAUAUUUAAAGUGAUAUAGUAUUUUAAUUUUAAUAAUUUAUCAUAUAUACUUCGAUUAGGAAAUAUAUAUAAGAAUUAAUCGAAUUUCAAAAAUCGAAUCGGUGGCUGACCUUGCAGGGGAUUAAUCGGUUAAAUCGGGGAUUUUUUAAACACCGAUGAUAAUGAAAAAAGGUUAUAAUUAUAAAACCUAUAAAUGGACAAAAUUAACAAACCCGGAAACCGGUAGGUAUGUUUUUACUGUUCAAGGAAAAAUAAAAUCAGAGCGGUUUUUAUUCCUCUCUCUACAUCGAUACAAUCAAAGUUCCUGCUUCUAUAUAAACAAAUACUACUAAUAAAACUCUCUUCAUCUCUCUGUUUAGUUGAGCUGGGGAGAUCUAAAUUUCAAGACUGACCCAAAUUUCACUUUUUGGAUCUUGGAUUUAGACGUCUCAGUCAAGGGAUCUUCUCCAAAAAUCUCACUUUUUGGUAAUUCUCAUGAUCUUUUGCAUUCAUUCUUGAAUAUUUCGUGGCCCAUUUGGUUUUCUUGGCCAUUUGAUUAUCUUUUCUUGAUUUUAUUGAGUUUUGAUGAAUUUGUGUUGUGGGGUUUCUUGAAUUGGUGGUUUGGGAGAUUUUUAUUAUGUUUGUGAUCUGAAAUUGUUGUUUUGAUGGUGAUCUUGAUUUGUGUUGGUGAUUUAUAUGAAGGGUUGUAAAUUGUAUGAUUUUUGUGUAUUGGAUUUGCAAUCUCGAAUUCUCGGUGCGUAAGUAUGAUAUAAUUUGAUAUGCAUGUGUGUUUCUUUGUGUGUAUUUAGCAGUUCUUGAUGUGUGUGUUCUUGCAGUUUGCAGGUAUAUAAAGAUUUGUGGUUUUUUGCUGGUAUAGUGGUAUCUUUGCUUUUAUUUAUAUUUCUGCCGCCUACAUUUUGUAGAGUACAAGUUUUUGAAGAUAUAUUCGAUAGAAGACAUGCUUUUUUUCUUUCUUUUGAGAUGAAAUUUUUAGUGUAGAAUGGUAUUGUUGAAGGCAAUAUAAUGAGUGAAAAUACAAUAAUCUUCUAUUAUAUAUGCUUGUGUGAUUGUGAAUGUGUUGUUACUAUGUGGCAAUUUACAUGGUGAAGAUGAUCACUGUUAUUGAAGCCGAAUCAAAAUGUUUGAAUAAAUAAUUUAAUUAAACUUUGACGUCUCUUUUGCACAUAUUUUUUAUGUCUCUUUUGCACAUUUUUCUAGCACGCUUAUUUAAAGAUCUUUUAGCUUGAGAGUCCUAACACAAGCUGGUUAUUAUUGACAUUCAUCUGGUCGUGGCUUUAAAGGUCUUUGUGAAGUUAUGUAUUAAUGUUAAAUGGCAUCUGUUUCUUCUUCUUCUCUUCUUUUUUUUAAUGUAUACCUGAAACAGGAAUUGGAAUCUUUGAAGGGAUUUUAAGAUACUUUAUGAGUAUGGGUGUGGAGAGUUUGGAAACUGAGUUGCCCCAUGUCCCUGUGGAGACAAAACUGGAAGGAGACAUCUUGUUGCAGAAGGAAAAUGGAAUACUGAAUCAAGACUCAGGUAUAACAUUUGGUUCACAUGGAACAGAAGAGCCAGUUAAAAAAGAGGCGAGUAAUUUGCCAGAAAAUACCAUUCCCAAGGAUGCAGUUGAUGAGUGGCCUGAACCUAAGCAGAUCCACACCUUCUAUAUGGUCAAAUAUCGGUUAUAUGACGACCAGAAAACCAAAUUCAAGUUGGACCAGGCUGAUAAAGAGCUUAGAAAGUUCAACCAAGCUCAAAAUCAGAUCAUGGAAAAAAUAAGGGCAAAAAAAGUGAGUGUUUUUUUACUCUUCUGUAGUUCUGUUUCCUUGACUGGAACUGCUUGCCAAUUUAAUCCUUGUGAAAUCCGUGACAUGAAAUAAUAUGCUACAUAAUCGUUUAUAGAAAUGGCUCCUGUUUCUGGUGGAAUAGUGGAGUGAAGUUUGAUGGUGUGAUAUACUGCUGAACAAUCUCUUCAAUAUAAAAUUGAAUCAAUACACUUAAGUUAUAACUGAAAGAAAGAAAAUCGCCAAUCUUAAUCGUUGAAUAAAUUAAGCAACAUACAUAUUUUCUGCAGGCAGAUCGAGCUCAAGUGAAUUCUCAAUUGAAGACUUUUAUUGAUGAAAGUAAGCAGUAUAGACAAAUCAUAGAUGAGAAGAGGAAAGAAAUAGAGCCUUUGCAUCAGGCUUUAGGCAAAUUGCGCAAUUCAAACACAGGGGGUAGAGAGAAGACCUUUUUAUGCUCUUCUCAGGAAGAGCUAAAUGAAGUUGUAAGCACAAUUUUUUAAGCUUUUUUAAUUUCUGCUGGUCACUUUUUCCUGUUAUAUGUUUUGCUUAAUAAUUGUUUCUGUUUUAUCUAUGAGCAUAAUUAGGAGUAAUUGUACUAUUGAUCUAAUCUUAUGUGUGGUAAUAUUUGUUUUAUUCUCCACUCUUCUUGGUAAUUAAGAUCAAGAGCUUAGAAAACCGCAUACAACAUGAGAGCAUUCCCCUGUCUGAAGAGAAGCAAAUAAUUAGAGAAAUCAAACAAUUAGAAGCAACACGGGAGAAAGUUAUUGCCAAUGCUGUUGUGAGGGCUAAGAUUGAGGAUUCACUGGGAGAGAAGGAAGCCAUUCAAGACCAGGUUAAGGUAGGGAAAUCCUUUUAAAUACCUGUAAAUCUUGUACUAUCCUUGGCUGUAAAAAUAUAAUUAUCGUCUCCAGACUUCUGUAAUUCUUGUUAUAUAUUAGUCACAUAAAGUGGUUUUGUUGAUCUUGUGCUUUCUAUGUCAUUGUAGCUGAUAGGUUCUGGUCUGGAUGGAGUUUGGAAAGAGAAGAAAGUAGUUCAGGCUAAGGUUGAUCAGCUUGAUAAAGAGAAGAAGGCCAUAAAUCUAGUGAUUGAUUCUUUAGAGGAAGAAUCGAAGGCUAUUUCAGUGGAUAGACAGAAGGUUUAUGACAGGAUUCGGGAACUAAGGAAACAGCUUGAUCAAGGGGUGUGUAACUCUACUUUUGGCAUUUUACAUCCAUUCUUCUUUCUGCUGUAAAAUGGCUGUUGCAUAACUUCAUAGAAUCAUAUCUUGCUACAAAUCUGCUGAUUACAUCUAUAGAUUUGUUUUGUGUUAAUCUGGAUCAGCUCGGGAAAGUUAAGUUUAUACUUGCAAAAGGUGUCAGCAUAUCAUAUAGCAAUAACGAACACUUGCUUAUAGCGUGGUAUUCUAAUCCUCUGAUCAUGAUUGGACACUUUAGCUGCUUGCUCAGGCUUUUCAUAGGCGCUUACUGAUCUUUAUAUAUCUGGCUGCAUCAAUAAAUGAAGUGGACUAGACCUUAGAACUUAUGUUUAGUUCAUUAAUCGUUCAUUACUUAAGCAUGAACAGCUAAUUUUAGUCAUUUAGCAGGUCAUAGGAUGUCUUCUGCAACUGGUUAAGUAAGAGAUUAUUAAUAAAGGUAACCAGGACAAAAGACAGAUGAAUCUAUUUGCUCGCCUGUAAUUUUGAAAAUAUUUGUAGAUUCCACAAAGAAAGAACUGUAAAGUACAACAGACCUUGCCUGAUAUUGGAAAACUUGGAUUAUUUUUGGAUAAUGGUAGAUGGAAACAAUGCUUGUACAGUCCUAUUAAAACCUAGAAAUAUAGGCCCGCUUGCAGUCGGUGUUUUUGUUAAAAGUUUUGCUUUUUAUAUAUACAGAAUUCAUGUCAUGCUUAUUUUUAAGAUGAUUUAAUGAUGAGAGAUGAAGUGCGAACCAGGAUGAUGCAAACAUAUUAUGGGAUCAAUUGCCGCUUAUCUGAAUCCUGUAUUCUUUAUGCUCAUGUUUAUGUUGUUAAGGAGUUUUAGCAAUGCUGAAGACUAAUUAAUUACUGAUAUUAUAAAUCUUUUCAGAAUGCUCCCUAUUAUCAAAAUCGUACUACCUUGAUAAAGGCCAGAGAGCUUGCGGCCAGAAAAGACGUUGAAGGUCUUCGCAAUUUUGCUAGUACAGAGGUUUGUACUAGUUCUUUCUGAUAAAGACAUCUGCUGGUCAAUCAACACAAUAAUCAGUUUUACCAUCAAAUCUUCAACUUCUCUUUGAUCAGGUGGAUACAUUUAUGUCCUUGUGGAGUAGUACCAAGGCGUUUAGGGAUGAUUAUGAGAUGAGAAUUUUGCCUAGUCUUGACAUGCGACAACUGAGCAGGGACGGACGAAUGAGAAACCCCGGUGAGAAGCCAUUAGUGGUAAAAGAGUCACCACCUCCUGCUCAAACUGAGAUAGUAGCAAAACCACAACCCAAACAGGUGAAGGAAGAUUCCACCAAUAUCAACCAGAAAGAGAAAAGUACGAAGCAACCAAAGGAACCUACUAAGGAAGUACCAAUUCCUGAAAGUACCGUAGAGGUCAGUGCUGUGAAAGAUGGUGAGUUCGAAAAGGCAGAAAAAGAUCCUCUUCCGGUGAAAAAAAAAGUUGACGAGGCAAAGCUGAAGGAGUUAAAGAGAGAGGAAGAGAUAGCCAAGGCUAAGCAGGCCCAGGAAAGAAAGAAGAAAUUGGCAGAGAAAGCGGCAGCGAAAGCAGCUAUAAAAGCUCAGAAGGAAGCUGAAAAGAAACAAAAGGAAAUUUAUUCUUUUCCAAUGUGUUUCCAGAUUAUAUAACCUGUGAUGAUUUGUGGAAUAUGAUCUUAAGCAAUUUCUAAUAUUUGACUUUAAUACCUACAGGAUCGCGAGAAAAAAGCAAAGAAAAAAGCCACUGCAUCUGGAUCUGUGGCAACUGAGGAACCAACUGAAACAACAGCUGAUAUCGUCUCUGAAACAGGAACAGCAGAAGAGGUUGUUCAGGCAGCAGCUGCACCGAAGACCAAGGAAAGAAAAGAGAAAACUACAGUGCGGUCGAGGGGCAAAGUCAAGGGCCCAGAUCCACUCCCUAAGAUCAUACUCAAAAGGAAGAAAGCAACAAACUACUGGACUUGGGCAGCAGCUCUAGCGGCCAUCUUAGCAGUGUUGCUUGCAGUGCUCGGAUACUAUUAUAUGAUGUGAAGACAUAUGAUGUGAAGACCCGUAAUGCAAGUCAGCAGGUACAAAUCGACGAUGGGCCAAAUUUUGUGUUUGGCAAAUGAUGUCAGUGGCCGAGUAAAGUUACAUGAAAGUACUUUUUUCUCUUUAUAUUUCCGUACACUUUUUGGCAGGAAGAUGGACAUGAAACUUCUGUAUUUGGUUUUUGUUUCAUUCUAGAGAUCAGGCAGUUGGAAAAAUUUAGCUGAGGCAGAGUACUUGUUUUUCAAUUUGAAGUUUUGGUUUUUGAAUCAUUACUUGUUUUGUAAUUUGAUAAUGCUGUGCAUUGAUGAGUAGACUUGCAUCAACAUUAAUUUUAUUUAUUCAGUCAAUACCUUCACAGUUCACAACAAUGCAAAAAUUGAUUGUUUUCAGAGAAAGAGUCCUGCAUUUCUGGGAUGAAGCUGUGCAGAAGCGCUGGUUUUGCUCAUCUUAUUUUAAGCUGCUGAUACGUAAAUGAGUACCUUUUUUGAGAAAAAUAAUAAUGUCUUGCUCGUUAUGCCUAUUUAAAUUUGUUACAAUGCUUAUUCUAGUUUUGUCGAGCAAGCUGCUCAUUUGUGUCUAACAAAAAUUAUGUGUUAAUAACAACAACAAUAAUAAUAAUAUUAGAAAUCAGAAAUGCUGACUUUUUUGCUUUUAUAUUUUAUUAUAAAAUUAUAAAUUUUCAAUGUUUGAUAACUUUUAUUGUAAUUUAAUAAUUCAAACACAUUUAACAAUUUAUAAAUUAAAUUCAAUUAUUACCAUAAUUCUUAAGUCAUAAUUGUCUUCUUUCUUUUAUAUCAUAAAUUAAUAAGUUACUUAUGUUUUUUUGAAACCAAAUAAGUCACUUAUGUUAAUAUAUACGCAGUGUUCUAAAAGUCGGCGAUUAAUCGGGAUUAAUCGCCGUUCGGUCGGUCACCGUCUCGAUUAAGCGUUAAUCGGUGAAAAAAGUGUUUUUUCUGAAAAGUCGGUCAAAGACGGGAUUAAUCGGUCAAAGGACGGUAAAAUCGGCAAAUAAAAAAUCGGUAAAUUUAAAAAAUUUAUAAAUCAUAGUAAAAAAAAUUUAAAAUUUAAAAAUUAAUUUUAAGACACAUUGUACUAUAGUUUUAUAGGAUGAUUUAUAAAAUGGAUAUUUUGUGGAUAAAAUUAUUGAUUUUUUCAUUUAUAAAAUUAUAUGAUUAUAAAUCUGUUGUAAAUAUAAAUAUAUUUAUAUUCAUAUUUAUCUAUUUUAAAAAAUAAUAUUAAAUUGAUUCCGAUUAAUCACUCUGAUUAAUCCUUGAUUAUCCGAUUAAUUGCUUGAGGUUCCCUUUACCGACUAUGUCCGAUUCCAGCUUCUUGCAACACUGUAUAUACCUAUAUCAAACCGCGUUAUCACUGUAAGUUGAUAUUUUCUCGCACCCGUUAUCGUUCCUCGAAAGUCGAACCAAACAACCUCCGGAGAUGAAGUGGACUAAACUGGAAACAAACAGAAACAAGAAGGAUCCGCGACCUCCUAUUUUAAGCUUUAUUUUAUUCAGAGGGCAAUUUGAAUGCUUAUUCUCGGGAAAUUAAUUCACAGCAGCAAAGGAGAAAAUGAAGACAAAGCACAAGUUUCUCAUUCACUUCGUGCCUGAAUAUUGGUAAAGUUAAUGACUCCUCGUGUUUUCAAAUAAACAUAGUUUGAUUUUUUGACCUACAUUUUUAAGUUCAUUGAUCACGCAAUUAUAAUUAUUGUUUUUCGAAUUUUCUUUUUAUGAAUUGAAGUAUUAUAAGUUUGAUAUUUUUAUCAAGAAAAAGAAAAUUUUAGAAAUAAUUAUUUUAGUUUACAUUUGUAGCAUUCGUGAUGUUCAGAGUGUGUUUGUUAAUGGUGCUGCAUUCCGGAGAGGGUUCAAUUUAGAUAGUAACCGCAUUGUUAUGUGCUUUGGUGCCACGAAUCGUGUUGCCUGAAUGCAGUUACAGACGUGUCAUUCACCGUUUUGAUUAGUCUAUUGUUUGCUUUGCGAUGACUAUGAAUCUCGUCGGUUUCACGUGUUCAUAAUGAAAGGUGAUCUGAUAGUUGUCUUAUUCUGGGAUAAGACACUAUGUGUUACUCCAAGAAGAUGCGGUCGAGUGGAUGAUUUGGGUUUAAGCAAUCAUAUUAUCUUGGUAGCCAUGAAACAAAUGAUAUUGUUGAUAUAUGGAAUAUCUAGGAGGAUUUUUGCUCGAAUGAGGUACACUCUGCUCUACAUUCUCUUAUUACUCCUUUUGAGGAAUAUUUGGUUUUGCUUAAUAAUGACGAGAACUUUGUUCAUAUUGAAUAUUUGGUUUUGUUGAUAUUGAUUCCUAAUGCAGAUAUUAAUCAUUAUAUCUAUGUACGUAUUGGAUUUGUUUAUUUUGCUUAUUGCCUAGUACUUCUAAAUUAAAUUUUAUGUUUGUGAAGUUCUGGUUUGGCGUAAAAUUGGACGAUGUUGUUUGGCCUCUCCUGCCGGAAGAAAAGCUGCUAUUACUGAGUUGUUUAUGUUGUUAUGUUUUGUAUAAUCUCUAAUUCAAAUCCACAACUUGGACAAAAAAUAUUAUGAUGAGAACUAAAUAAUAGCAUUGUAUGAAAGAAUCAUAAAAAUUGCAGCCGCACCGAACCAAGGUCCGGUUUUGGUUUUGGUAUUUACCGUAUCACUAAACUGAAAGUAUAUUAGUUAUAAUUUUAUAUUGUAUGUUACACAUUAUCUCUUAGAUGUAUGCGGUAGUAACGGUAUACAUUAGUCACUACACAUAUGUACAUAUUAAUUCUUUCUAGAGCAAUAAUAGUUGUUUAGUUUUAAGUUGUGUUUGCGUCAGUCUGGUAUAUCAGUCUCAUGUGCACGACUGUGCCUAGCUGUUUUGCAUUUUUACUGGGAUGCAAACGAGCAGUCAACCUGGUCUAUAUAAAAAAGAAUUAUGCAAGUUUCCGUUUGUGAAAUCUGGGCAUUUUUAUUUUAUGGUUUACAUCGGAAGUAAAAUGCAGAAUUUUGUGGUUCAGGUUUCAGAUUAUUUUCUAGAUAUAAUGUAUCUUGGCUUAUUCCAGUAACUAGGGGACAUAAUUAAUUGAUUAAGAAGAAUAGGACAUGCAUAGAUCGAGAGAGGAGGGAAAACGAUUUUCCAAUAAGAGAUCCUCGAAUAAGAUUAUCGGAGAAGGAGAAGAUCGACGGAGAAGAAGGCCAUCGGAGAAAAUGAAAAUGUUGAUUAAUGGUGGCCGAAUAUGGAAGUAGAAGUUAAUGGUGGUUGGUGCCACAGAUGAUUGAGAAGGGGAAGGAGAAAUGAGGAGAGUACAGUGGUGGGUGUGUGAGGGCUUGGAUGUUUUUAAUAUGUGAUCCAUAUUCAGUUAGGUGUAACAAUGUAGUGGCUAGUGUUGAUUUAUAAUUUUUUGUUUUAUCUUAUUUUCAAUUUGAUCAAUCCUAUAUAAAUACAUACACCCUUGCCACAACUAUAAGAACCAAAAGUAGUAGUGUAGUAGUAUGUAUGGAUUCAUAUACACAGUCUAUAUCAUUCAUUCUCGUAAAGAUUUUAGUGUUCAAUCUUAAUGGAUGCAAUCCACUAAACCUAUCGCUCUUGCUCCCCGGGGAAUGUAUGAAUCACAUCCAUAUACACCUCCUAUGUUCACACAUAGGCUCUCUUUUUUUACCGAGUGAUCGCUAGAACGAGUUCGAAUAACUUCAAAAUGUUCAAGUCAAAGGGCUGAUUGGUGACCAUCCACCUUAGUGUUGAUUCAACAUUUUCUGUAUUUUUGACAUGGCCUAAAAUAUACAUUGUGGUGGCAAGUCUGAAUACUGCUAUCCCAAAAUUCUCGACAUAGUCUUAAAGGGGGUCUAGUUGGACGUUCGAAUUAAGCUCAAGGACUACUAGUGGCCACUAUUCAGUCCCACAAUAAGUGUUUCAUCCGAAUAUGAGAUUCGAGGGAGGGGGUGUGUCAAAUUGUUAAAAUAUGAGCAACAUGGCGAUAUCAUAAGUGUAGCCUCCAAGUAUGUAAUUAGACAUGACAUCAACAUUAUGUUAAAGGAGGAGGCACCAAGUUUAGGGCUGUUAUAAUAAAGGCACAACCUCUCAUUGUAAAUUAAGAGAGCCAGAUAGAGCAGUUGUAAAGUUAUAUAUAUAGAGAUAUAUACUUCUUCUGUCCUUUUGGAUUGUUAACAUUUUGGAGAGAGGGUUCAACACGCCUUUUCAGGCUUUUAUGUAGUAUAGCUUCAUAAAUUAUAACUUUUGUUGUUGUGAAUAAAAUUUUAAUGUUCAAACUUCUAUUCAAAAAAGAAAAUUCCAAAAAUAAGUUAAGAAUUAUAUUUUAUGUACUUUUUAAAAUGUGUGUCAAGCAAUGUAAAAAAAGCGUUAACAAAUGGAAGGGACGGAUGGAGUAUAAACAAGUUUCCUGCCAUAUAUACUUUUCUCUCAUUAUUGUUCAGUGACAUGGUAUCAGAGCGAGUUGAUUUACAGAGAGAAAUCAAUGGUGAAAAUCUGUAGUUUAACACAUUUUCAAGGAAAUUCUUUUGUUUUUACCUAGACACAGAUUAGUGGUGAAAAUCUUUUUCAAAGAAAACUUGCUUGAUUAUGUUUUUACCCAAACACAGUCCCGAAAAUCUAGUCCAAAUCAAUAUACAAAGCAUACAGGUUGUUCACACGCGCCUUCACUCACCACCGCAAGAAUGAAUAAUGUCGUGCUUCACACCCUGGCCCGUCUGAUAUUUUUGGUCCUAUUUCCGGCAGAUUUGCUUCCUGUGUCCGAAAAUAUGGCGGAGGUUGUGAAUGAUCUGAUUGUAGGUAACAACACUAGUCAAGGAAGUGCAAAUUUGCUUUUCAUGGGACUCCAUAUGUGAGCCCUAAGUUUGAUGGUAAAAUCUUCGUGGAAUGGUCGGAAUUUUGCACACCUGCACUUAAGUCCGAUCUAGUGAUGAAAUACAUCAAUGGAAAGGCCAAGAAAUCCUUGGCGAGUGAUGCUACUUUGAUGAUUGGGAUAGUGAAAAUUUCAUGGUCAAGUCAUGGUUGUUUAAGUCCAUGGAGUUGCAUAUUCACAUAAGCUACCUUGGUCACCCAUACCUACUCAUAUCCAGGCAAUAUGACGAAACAUUUCGAGGUGAAGCAAAACAACAUGGCCCUGACUCAUGGGUUGAACAUUGACCGAAUAUUAUGGGGAAUUCACAUCAUGGAGUCAGACUCCUAUGUCCUAUGUUUGAGUGUAAGCAAGCUGAUGAUCAAAAGAAGUAUCGAAAGUUGGUACGACAAGAAAGAGUGAUGAAGUUUUCAGCUCUCCAUCAUUUAUUGUCUCAUAUGUAGACAAAUCCACCAAGACCUAUAAUGGCCAGUUCUGCCCAUGCAAAAUUCGAUGGCAAACAAAUUUCAUAGGCAAUGGUAAAGAGAUUGAUGGCCAUUCAUCAACCAUCAACAAGGUGGUCAUCUAUCGGGACUGACAACAUCACCUCUUAAUUUAUCAUGUGGUCAAAAGAUUCGACUCUUAAUAUCUCAUAUAUUCUCAAUUAAAGGAUUGAGAAGUGGCUAUCCACCAUAGUGCUGACAACAACGCACUUUCUCAAUUUUGACAUGGCCUCAAAUAUAGGGAAAUUCUCAAUGGCACACUCGGGGUUUUGGCUUUUCUAGAUGGUAUGCAAAAUAAUUUUGACUUCUGGUUGGUACACUUAAACCCCCCCUGUCAAACCCCGUUGCUCGAACAUUUACUAAUCCUAAAUUAAUUUUAAAAUAAAAUAAAAUAAAUCUAAAAACAUCAGUCCCCACACCUCGCUUCUUUUUUGAUUAAUCUAGGCGGCAGCGUCAUUGCAGACCCCACACCUCACCAUCAGCGUACCUUCUUCCUUCAUCUGCUAAACAGACCUCCAUAGCCGCUACGAGGCUGCCGAAGAUACCAUCCCUGCCGCAAACCUACAUCCGCAACACAACUCCCUACCGCCGUUUCAAUCUUCGUCGUUUCUCUUUUGUAAACCCCAACGUCAACUCCCCUGCCAUUCUAUGCUUCUCCACCUCUCCGAUUGUAAUUCCCCGACACCCAACUCGUUUCCUCACCACCAACCCCCUCCGACUCAACUUUACACCAAUUUCGUCUCUCGACUGACGCAACACCACCCCCAAAUCAGCGACAAGAACACACAUACAUAUACAACCAGUGUGCAUACAAGCAGCAAAACGCACAUAUACAGAUAGUAAUUUGUAAGAUUAAUGGAUGAAAUCAAAAGAGAAGCUUCAUUACCGCUCCGAUUCACAAACCCUAGCUCACUGGCUGAUUUGGGUCUUUUUGUUGUGUAUUCUGGUGGUGUUAUUACUAUUUUGUAUGAAAAAGAGGGGGGAUGAGAUAAGGGAUGACCGAAGUAAGGGUAGAACCGUUACCAAAGGAAGAUUCCGGCGGUAUUGCAGGUGGUAAGGGAGGUGGGUUUAGCUGGGAUGGGAAGGGGAUGGGGGAAUUAGGAGUCUGGUGUCUGUCGAUCAUGUGAUCAAAAAAUGAAUAAUAGUCUAGAAGAUUUGCCGAAAGCAUCUGCAGAGUCAAGUCAACGUUUGCUUAACAGCGCUUGACGGGAGGAGUAUGAUAAAGAAUGAUAUAAUAGUAUAAGUGUACCAAUAGGAAGGCAAAACUAUUUUGCGGACCAUCUAGAAAAGCCAAAACCACACGUGUACCAUUGAGAAUUUCCCUAAAAUAUAUUACAUGGUUGGAAAUUCGAAUCGGGGUAGUUCCAAAAUUCUCAUAUUUGACAUCCCAAUAUAAGUUAAUUCUAAGAUGGGCUCUUUUCUAGAACACUAAGAUUAUGCUCAAGGGAUUUUAGUGGUCCACACUUCAAUCCCAAAUUGGGUAUUUCAUCCAAGACGAGCUUUUGAGUGAGGGGGCAUUUUAAAUAUAAGCACAUCACGUGACAUAACCGCCAUGACAGCAUGGUAAUAUCAUAAGUGUAGCCUCCAAGUAUGUUGACAUCAGACAUGACAUCAACAUUACUGUUAAAGGAGUAGACACCAAGUUUAGGGCUGUUAUAAAUAAAGGCACAACCUCUUCUUGUUGUAAAAUAAGAGAGCUAGAUAGAGUAGUUGUAUCAUCAAAAAUAUUAAUGUUAGAGCUCAACAUCAUCAUUACAUUAUACUUACCGUCGAAAGUGUGCUAACAAGUUUUCUUGAAACUGUAAUAAUAGUGUGUUUUCCAACACAUCUACACAUGCAUUGCCCCUCAUUGUAACACUCAGAGAAGUAUGGAUAAUAUUUGUAUCUACAAGUUUUUAGUUUCUACCCCGAUGAAAGUAAUUUUACACAAGUGGUAUACUUGGAAUACUCAAUAUAAGGUUACAAUUAUACCUAGCUUCAUUCGAACUAUAUUUACUAUUUAUUUUAUAGUUGAAUUAUAACGAUCAAUCAUGUUUCUCAACUUUUAAAAAAAUAAAUUUAAUAAUGCUUCUUAACUUGGUGUAUGAUUUACGGAUUGAAAUUAAAUUACUAUGCAUUUUUUAAGAUAAGUAUAUAGGAUGUUGUCGAGAGUGAAUCACGGAAGCUCUUAUUUGGGGCAUAACUUUACCUUUCGUGUUCAUAAUACAUUAUGAGAAUAUUGGGGUAGGAGGAAGUCGAACUUGAGUCUUCUGCCAAAGCUCUGAUACCAUGUUAAGUGAUUAGUUAUCCUAAAAUAUCGAGGAGUUAGGAAGAGGCUUGUAAGGAUCAAAUUAUAUUAUGACAUACCAUUUUAAGUAAUCAGUUCUCCUAAAAUCUUAAAAUCUUGGGAAAAGAACUUGGCAAGAUCAUAUUGUAUUCUAACAUCGGAAUGCUUAUUUUCUUUCCUAUAAAAAAUUGAUAAAUGAAAUUUCAUGAAGCGAAAAAUAUGCUACUUCUACUUAUUUUAUAUGAUAAAUUAUGUUGGGACUUGAUAAGGGUAACAUUGGUCAUACUAUGAAUAUUUCGUCCAAGACUUAUAAUAAGAGGUUUUCGUUAGGUUUUUGGGGUAAAACAAUAACAGGUCAAGACGGCAGCGGCGAUUACCAGAGAGUCGGCAUAAAAAAUCACGGAAUCGUAGCUGCGACGACUACAAUUGAGUCGACAUAGAAAUCUCAGAAUUGUAGCGGCGACAACUACAAUCGAGUCGACAUAGAAAUCACAGAAUCGCAACCCAACUACAGCUUAUCACAUAACUUUAAAGGUAGUUUUGCUCUUUUCUUGAUCACCGGUUAACAAAUCUAGCUUUGAAAAUUACAAAAAGGUAUACUAGUCUGAAUUGUGUCUUUAUGUUCAUCAAUUUUAUUGUUCAAGAUAUGCGUAGAUUCCUUGUGUCCAUCUACUUCUAGCAUAAGUCGUGUAUCUUGUGAAUAAUCUUGAUCCCUAGGCUUCAAUCUGUUUGUUUCUGUUCUCAGGAGCAUCCCCUAGAUAAGAAUGUUCUGAAUGAUCUUAUUGUUAACAGAAUUUGUCAUUUUUAUACUGAUUCACCUCAUAUAACCUUAUUUCCAUAUGAAAGUUGCCAAACACAUGGUCAUAACAUACUUGCCUAAUUAUCAAGCCAGAUUAAUUACAUUCAUAAAGAAAAGAGUUAUCAGCAAAAUAGAGGUGGAUACAGUAUUACAAAUUGGGAAGUUAUUGAAUGCACUCAGUUUGCAAAAUUGACUGCUAUCUUCACUGUAUAGUGCACCUUUAAAGGGACAGUAGUUCAAGAUUUAUUUGUAUCAUAUAUGGCUGUGUUAACUUUAUAUGUUAAUUUAACUGUUGUGGUGAGAAAAGAAGUUUAGGAUAAAAUCUUUAGCAACGGGGUCAAUGGUCCAAUUUUACUAGUAGUGAUAAACAUAAAGAAGUGCACUUACAGGAUAUCAAUGAAUAUCCACUUUCUUUGCUUUUUCUUGGAUUGUGUUUAUUGAUCUUGAACUUCUUCCCCUCAGAAUCAUGUCUCCUUCUGCAACCUUUGUAAACAAUUAUGAGAAUGGGCAUUGUGUUCAGCAUCCUUCUUCUAGGACUUCUGGUGUACCUGUUGCUCCAAGUAAUACUAUGACCACGCGAGCUACAGGAAGAAAUCAUGGAAAUAGGAAAAGGUCACGUGGAAGCACUAGCUUGGCAAGAGAGGAAGGACAAACUUCUUCAAGUGAGCCCAAUGCUAUUCCUACAAGGUCAAGGAGAACGACUCCAAGAACAGUUAUUGAGGAUUACAUAACUCCUGCCGAAGGAGCCAUAUUGCACUCGCCACUUGUUCGUGGUACUUCUGAUGUUCCUUUUCCACCCUCAGGAGGACAUCAGAGCAGAUCUGGCAGGAAAGCUAGCUUGUCCAGAACUUAUGAAGGGUCUCGUUCAAGCUCUGCAACAGGUGACGAGGUACCUGGUAUAAGCUCGGAAACAGCCGACAGAGAAGAUGCUGGGGUUUCUGAGGAUGACCUGACACCUGCAGAGAGGGCUAUCUCUGCCACACGACUUCUCAGUGGCUUAGGGAAGCACCCCUCUGUGUAUGCUAGAGCAGGACGGGUAAGACACAUAGAUUUCUACUAUAAUUCUUCAGGUCAAUAAUUUUGCUUAGAAGAGUAGAAAUAUAAUUAUUGCUGUUUGAACUCACAGAACCCUCCCCCACAAGGUCUUAGCUUUCGGGGUGCUUGGAAAAACGCAGUAGAACUGUAUAGUGUAGCAAAUCAUCAGUACAAGGAGCUCCUCCAUAAUGCUGGAUUUGAAGACUUUCUUAAAAUCAAUCCGGUAGAGCUUCCACAGGGAUACCUUAUCGCCUUGAUGGAGAGGUGGUUUGCUCAGACGAACACUGUCCACUUGCCCUGUGGUGAAAUCGGUCCGACUCCAUUAGACUGGACAAUGAUUACUGGGCUUCGUUUUGGAGGUCAAUCCAUAUCCCUGGACCCUAAUUAUGCAAAGGAUGAAGCAGUGAAACUUCUUGGACUUAAACGUAGAAAGAGAGUUUUCCAGGGAAACAGGAUUACCUUGAGUGCGAUCAGACCUACAGAGGCACAGGUGAGGGCUUUUCCCGCAAAUGAUGUCAUAAAGGAAAGGAUUUCCCGUCGAUUGUUCCUCUAUGUCAUCGGCAGUUGUUUCUUCGGAAACAGCAAAUCAGUGAUACAUCAUGAGCUUGUGAAGCUUGUGGAAGAUAUACAUGCAGUGCCAGAUUAUGAUUGGGGGGCAUUUACUUAUGCAGCCUUCCUUGUUGGUAUGAGAAGGAAGGUUACUGGACAGAUAGGAUCCUUCACGGCAUUCUGGCCGUUUUUGGUGGUAAUUACUGUCUUUGCCUUGUACAUAGUGUGAUGUUCCCUAGUCAAAGAUAUCGUCCACCUUUUUCAUAAAUAUUUUUCAACUUAAAUGGGGAGAAUAACCAUGAGUAUUUUUACUAACUAUAUGAGUUAGUGUUUUUCUUAAAUAUUGUAUGCCAAUUUCAUUCUUUGUUCUUUGCUCUAGUUCUGGGCUUUCGAGUAUCUGAACAUAUGUCGUCCGGAGCACACUGAGAAUGUGAAUGUCUUUCCAAGGGCUAUGCGCUGGAAGUUUCCAGAAAAUGGCGGUACUCUUGAUAAUUUUGACCUUACUGCUUCCCGCUGUCAAUUGGAUUACGUUGAUGACGAGUCCAAGGUUAGUGAUCAAACCGUUUCAAGCCGGGUAUUUUACAUCCAGUAUAUCGCUUCUUUGAAUAUCCUUUCUAUUUUCAGGUGACCUGGCAACCGUACCUGGACAGUGAAAAAUAUAGUUCAGUUGACAUCAAAACUUCAAUUGAUCUGGCGAAGAGCAGGGUACCGUUUAGGAGUUUUGCCACCUGGGAAUAUUAUCUCGGGGAGAGAUGUGGACGACAAUUAGGUCUCCCUUGUCUAGUUCCCUCUGACCCUCCAAAAAAGCUGUACAGAGACUUUACAAAGAAAUCCCCGAGUGGGAAGGUGAAAGAGAAUAAAGAACCCCGAACUAUAGAAAACGCUGCUGAAACUUUGGUGGAGUCAGAGAAUCUUGAAUAUGCCUCCUGGUUCGCAGAAAACUCAAUCGGGAAAAUUGUCGAUGUGACUCGACUAAUUGGAGGAACUGCAAUCGGAAGAAAAGUCAUAAGUGACUGGAUGGUGGGUUUUUAUAUAUGUAUGAACUCAUUAUCAUAACCCUUUUGUGAAUGAAUCCCCUUAGCUAUUUGUCUUGUUUUUUUUAGGCAAAGCACCGAACAGGCAUAGUUUUAGUCCCUAAAUCUGAAGUCGAGGAAAUAACACUGGCUUGUGAUGCUGCUGAUGCUGAGCGUAAAAAGCUUCAAGAAGAGUUGGUAAGAUUUGAUAUUUACUUGCAUUCAGUUCAAUAUGUACUAACUAAUAUUAUUUCAACAAGAAUAUGAUGGUCAAAUGUAAGUUUUGUGUUGUUUCGCAGUCUCAACUUAGAAGAGGUUGAGAUUUCUAAGAGAAGAAUAGGUUCGUCAAGCUCUGAAUAUGGUCAGUCAGCUACUAUUUGUAAUAUUAUAUACUUUUCCCGCCUCAUGCUUUGCUAAAAUUAUCUUUUUCUAUAGUUUCUCCUCAGCUAUGACGAUUCCUAUAUACAAGAUAGUAUCUCUGCAUUAGACUUCUGUCCAGAAACCAACUUAUAAAGAUGAGCAUGGGUUGUCCCGUCCCAAGUCCAGGCCAGCUUAAAGUCACCCGAGGUUUGAUGGCCUUCAUUGCGGUGCUGAUAUAUCUGAAUUGCUUUUAAUGUUUGUAAACUGAAACUUUAGGACUGGGGGACUUGACUUGACAAUUUAGCUGUCCAUAUAGUAGUUAUGGGCUGGAGAUAGUGCUAAGUGCUUGACUGAAGAAAGUAUUUGAUUCAAGUGAGACGAUUUUUUAUUUUUGGGUAAGGAUUCAAGUGAGACGAUUUGUAUACUAGUAUGCUCUAUUGUGCCUAGUGUGGACCAUUUGUUGGGAUAGUAGUAUUAUGAUUGCCAGACUCUUAUCUUUUGUUCUAUUUCAUUGCAUUUUUAAAGUAUGCAGAACAAAUUAUUUUUGAUGAUUAAACGUAAUUCUAGUGACAGUGUCAUCGACUCAUUUCUGGUGAAAACAGUGACACAGGAGGCGCUUGGAUUGUGGGUGGGAAUGAGGUGUUCGAAUGGAGGAUAUGCGAAUAAGUAUUCUAUGAGCUAUGAAGGAAAUGAUUUACCCACUAAAGGGGAAUGAGAUUCUCAUUUCAUACAAUAAAUUUGCUAAUCCAAACACCAACACGUGAGUUUGGAAUUUGAGAUUCCGAGCUCAUUAAUCAUGAUCUGAACACCCCGUAGUUGAGGCUUCAUGCAACUAAUUGCGGAGCUUGUUCCUAGAUUGACUGUUUUCGAAGAUGAUGGGUUUUAAUUUGAGCCAUAAAUGUUUGAUCAAGUGCUUGAGAGUAAUCGUGCAAAAACACAUACCACAAGAUUGAAGAGUAAGAGUAAUGCGUGAAUCUGUUAGAAUUUUUAUCUUAUCCUUCCAUUUCCGAAUUCGCUGUGUUCUGAUCGCCGACGACACCGAGUAGAUUUUAAGAGUUGCUUGAAUCCACAAUUCUGCAUUCAACAGAACAAAUUUCAUUUAUUCGAAUGGAAGAAAUCGAUAAUUACGGGGUGUAUUCGAUUGGGAUUUUAAUGUAUUGUUUUUAGUAUAUGGAUUUUAAUGGAUUGUAUGGGAUUUCGAUUGGAUUUUGUGCGGAUUCUUGAUGAAAUGUCUUGAUGAAAUGUCGCAGAGUUGAUAGGAUUUAGGUACAAUGCUUCAAAAUCCCAUUGAAUUUGGUGGGAUUUCAAAAAACUUAAAAUACACUGAAGAAUGCCACAAAAUCCAUCAUUUUAUGAAAUGAAAAAAAAUCCAUCAGCAUUUGAAUACCAUCAGAUUUUAAUGGAUUUUAAACAAUCUCAAUUGAAUACCAUCGGAUUUUAAAGCAUAAUUUAAAAUCCCAAUUGAAUACCACCAGAUUUUGUAGCAUAAUUUAAAAUCCCAAUUGAAUACCUCAAGAUUUUAAUGGAUUUCAAACAAUCCCAAUCGAAUACCCUCGGAUUUGAUGAAUGCAAAAAAAUGCUUUAAAAUCUCAAUCCAAUACACCAUCUUUAGUUUCGAUAUUUUACUCCAAAUAAUUACAUCUAUAUCCUGCCAUAAAUCUGUAUUCAGAACUUAUAAACUUAUUUAUUUUAUUUAAAGUAUUAAGUUAUUUCCAGAACACUAUAAAACACAUACCUCUAAUUUUUUAAUCUGAAAAAAUGAAAAAUCAAAUCAGAAAGAAAAUACCAAAACAAGUAAAAAUAAUGAAAAAUUUCAUAAUUUUGCUUUGAUAAUAGCUUCAGUUUUGCUCCCAAAUCGAAAUCCUUAUUUCUUCAUUGUGCAUAUACUUAUAAAGUUAUAAUUUAUAUUUCCUUAACUUGUAAACCUUUUAUUAUUAUUUUUUGAAAAGCAAAGCGAAUAACAUUAAUAUCGGAUUAACUUGUAGCCGUUAAAACUUUCUGAUUAUAGAAAACAGAUUUUGUCAUUUUAAAAGAUAAAAUAAUAUAUUAUUUAUUAAACUGAUAAAUCGAUUAACUGAACUUAAAUAAAAAUGUUUAAACCGGCUCGAUUACAAACUUUUGGUAGAAGUUACGAAAUACUAUACAUACAACUAUUCUUUGUAAGUCAAUCUAUGUAUAAUUAACAAUUUUACAAUAUUAAUAAAUUAAACUUUAUAAUCCUAUAAGUUAUUUUUAAAAGUUCUUAUUUCUGAAUUUGCAGAGGAUAAUAAACUACACACACAAAGUGACACAAACUGUGUGUUUGCGUCCCGACCAUGGCUGCGACCACCGCAGUUCGGUCGUUCCUUAACUCAACUGCUCGGUCUGUUAAACAACACAAUCUUUCUCAUCUCGGAACUCGACCCUUUCCUCGUCUUGUCUUUAAAUCUCCACUCACUUCUUCAGGUUUGAUUUUUGAUUACCCUCGGAAGUGGAGAAUUUCAUUUCUAGAUUAUUUAUCGAGAUUAUAAAUAUUGAAUAUCACAUUUCGAUUGUGUUUUGUUUCUGUUAUGCGGGGACUAAGAAAAGUUAUUAAUUUGUUGAGAUUAUUCAUUUAUUUACCAGGGUUUUAUUUGCUGAGGUUAUGCUGCAUUGAACUAAAUUGACAAAAGGACUCUUUAGAUGUGUUGGUUGUUUGCAUUGUCUAUUAUGUUUUGGUCUUGUUAUGUUGGGAUUGAGAAAAAUUAUUAAUUUAUCGAGAUUAUUCAAUUAUUUAUUGGGCAUUUAUUUAUUGAGGUUCUGCUGAAUUGAAGUAUAUUAACAAAAGGGCUAUUUUGAUGUGUUGGUAUGUUGCAUUGCCUUAGUUUGAAUUGGUGGGUUACAUUAAGUGAUCAAAAUUUAAUCUUUGACUAUAGUGGCUGAUGGAUUUAGGUAUGUGUCACGUGGCACAAGCUACAAGGGGGAACACUGAUGUUUUGGUUAGGGUAGUAGGAGAGAAGGGUGCAGUUGACGAAGUGAAGCAUGUCGUCGAGAUUAUAAAUAUUGAAUAUCACAUUUCGAUUGUGUUUUGUUUCUGUUAUGCGGGGGGACUAAGAGAAUUAUCAAUUUGUUGAGAUUAUUUAUUAUUUACAAGGUUUUUAUUUGCUGAGGUUCUGCUGCAUUGAACUAAAUUGACAAAAUGACUCUUUAGAUGUGUUGGUUGUGUGCAUUGUCUAUUAUGUUUGGUUUUUUGUUAUGUUGGGAUUGAGAAAAAUUAUUAAUUUAUCGAAAUUAUUAAUUUAUUUAUCUGGUGUUUAUAUACUGAGGUCCUGCUGCAAUGAACUAAAUUAACAGAAUGUCUCUUAAGAUAUGUUGGUAGUUUGCAUUGUCUAUUACCCCUAUGUUUUGUUCUUGUUAUGUUGGGAUUGAGAAAAAUUAUUAAUUUAUCGAGAUUAAUCAGUUAUUUAUUUAUUGAGGUUCUGCUGAAUUGAACUAUAUUAACAAAAGGGCUAUUUUGAUGUGUUGGUAUGUUGCAUUGCCUUAGUUUGAAUUGGUGGGUUACAUUAAGUGAUCAAUAUUUAAUCUUUAACUAUAAUGGGUGAUGGAUGUAGGUAUGUGUCACGUGGCACAAGCUACAAGGGGGAACACUGAUGUUUUGGUUAGGGUAGUAGGAGAGAAGGGUGCAGUUGAUGAAGUGAAGCAUGUCGUCGAGAUGGUAUACUUAUAUUUGUGUUUGUGGAGUUUUAUGUUGCCUAUGUAUUAUGCAGAUUUUAAUUCAUGAAAAGAGAGUUGCUUAUUGCUAUGUGAUGAUUUAUAACCAAUUAAAGUGAGUAACGCUAUCGUUCGGCUUUAGGAAGAAGGUAAUUUUGAUUUAUUACUAUUUGGCGUGGAACCCUUUAGGCAAAGCGGGCAUCUUUAAGAAGAGAAGUUCUGCAUACUGAUUUUCUNUAAGUCAAUCUAUGUAUAAUUAACAAUUUUACAAUAUUAAUAAAUUAAACUUUAUAAUCCUAUAAGUUAUUUUUAAAAGUUCUUAUUUCUGAAUUUGCAGAGGAUAAUAAACUACACACACAAAGUGACACAAACUGUGUGUUUGCGUCCCGACCAUGGCUGCGACCACCGCAGUUCGGUCGUUCCUUAACUCAACUGCUCGGUCUGUUAAACAACACAAUCUUUCUCAUCUCGGAACUCGACCCUUUCCUCGUCUUGUCUUUAAAUCUCCACUCACUUCUUCAGGUUUGAUUUUUGAUUACCCUCGGAAGUGGAGAAUUUCAUUUCUAGAUUAUUUAUCGAGAUUAUAAAUAUUGAAUAUCACAUUUCGAUUGUGUUUUGUUUCUGUUAUGCGGGGACUAAGAAAAGUUAUUAAUUUGUUGAGAUUAUUCAUUUAUUUACCAGGGUUUUAUUUGCUGAGGUUAUGCUGCAUUGAACUAAAUUGACAAAAGGACUCUUUAGAUGUGUUGGUUGUUUGCAUUGUCUAUUAUGUUUUGGUCUUGUUAUGUUGGGAUUGAGAAAAAUUAUUAAUUUAUCGAGAUUAUUCAAUUAUUUAUUGGGCAUUUAUUUAUUGAGGUUCUGCUGAAUUGAAGUAUAUUAACAAAAGGGCUAUUUUGAUGUGUUGGUAUGUUGCAUUGCCUUAGUUUGAAUUGGUGGGUUACAUUAAGUGAUCAAAAUUUAAUCUUUGACUAUAGUGGCUGAUGGAUUUAGGUAUGUGUCACGUGGCACAAGCUACAAGGGGGAACACUGAUGUUUUGGUUAGGGUAGUAGGAGAGAAGGGUGCAGUUGACGAAGUGAAGCAUGUCGUCGAGAUUAUAAAUAUUGAAUAUCACAUUUCGAUUGUGUUUUGUUUCUGUUAUGCGGGGGGACUAAGAGAAUUAUCAAUUUGUUGAGAUUAUUUAUUAUUUACAAGGUUUUUAUUUGCUGAGGUUCUGCUGCAUUGAACUAAAUUGACAAAAUGACUCUUUAGAUGUGUUGGUUGUGUGCAUUGUCUAUUAUGUUUGGUUUUUUGUUAUGUUGGGAUUGAGAAAAAUUAUUAAUUUAUCGAAAUUAUUAAUUUAUUUAUCUGGUGUUUAUAUACUGAGGUCCUGCUGCAAUGAACUAAAUUAACAGAAUGUCUCUUAAGAUAUGUUGGUAGUUUGCAUUGUCUAUUACCCCUAUGUUUUGUUCUUGUUAUGUUGGGAUUGAGAAAAAUUAUUAAUUUAUCGAGAUUAAUCAGUUAUUUAUUUAUUGAGGUUCUGCUGAAUUGAACUAUAUUAACAAAAGGGCUAUUUUGAUGUGUUGGUAUGUUGCAUUGCCUUAGUUUGAAUUGGUGGGUUACAUUAAGUGAUCAAUAUUUAAUCUUUAACUAUAAUGGGUGAUGGAUGUAGGUAUGUGUCACGUGGCACAAGCUACAAGGGGGAACACUGAUGUUUUGGUUAGGGUAGUAGGAGAGAAGGGUGCAGUUGAUGAAGUGAAGCAUGUCGUCGAGAUGGUAUACUUAUAUUUGUGUUUGUGGAGUUUUAUGUUGCCUAUGUAUUAUGCAGAUUUUAAUUCAUGAAAAGAGAGUUGCUUAUUGCUAUGUGAUGAUUUAUAACCAAUUAAAGUGAGUAACGCUAUCGUUCGGCUUUAGGAAGAAGGUAAUUUUGAUUUAUUACUAUUUGGCGUGGAACCCUUUAGGCAAAGCGGGCAUCUUUAAGAAGAGAAGUUCUGCAUACUGAUUUUCUUACACCGCCUGUAUUGAAGGAGUCGAUGCAAGUAUUAGAAAAGUUAGCUGAUGUUAAAGCGGUCGCUCAGGGAGGAUACCCACAGGUUAUCUCAGAUGACUUCUGAUUUUUAAAUUCUGUAUACAACUCAUUCUAAAUAGUGUCAACAUCCUGCAAUUCUGUAACUAUUUCUAUUUAUUAGACUUAACCUUUUUACCUAGGCUGAGCGCUGUAGGCUUUCAGUUGGACAUCCAGAAGCCUUAACAUCCGACCCGGAUAUUGUUGAAGCACUGAGGUCAGCUACUUGUAAUAAGGAAGUGCUAUCAAGCAUUAGCAAUAUCUUUAUUGUUUUUUUAUGUAUAAAUUGUUUUAUGUGGAGCAGUAUUUCAGGAAAUUUUGGAUUUGAGCCUUGUUCUCAUGGUGAUUUUCUUGGUUCCAUUCUUGGCACGGGCAUUUCUAGGGAUAAGCUGGGUGAUAUAUUAUUACAGGUGGCAGUUACGUUUGUGCUUGUGUUUUAAUAUAUCUUUAAGAUGUGUGGAAAGUUUAGAUUGUGUUUAGAGAGGUAAACUCCUAGAUUGAAUUCUUAAUUGUAAGGACCAUAUAGAAAAGCUGUCUUCCUAGAAAAUAGAAACAAAGAAAUAAUCAGAUUUAAUAUAUGUUUUCCAGGGAAGAUGUCUGAAAUGUGCUAGUUAAAAUUCUCUAUUUAUUCUCUUUAUCCGAAGGCAAUCUCGAGCCUUCAUGAUAAAUUGGUCAUGGUUGGAUAUAACCUGUUUUCUGGGACUAAAACACGUAGAAUGCCCUCUUCUUCUUUUCAGCCAAGCAGCUAAGAAAGUUUUUUAUGGGCACUGGCACAGAAGCACCUGUUUGUAAAAAUCUUUAGACAUUGCAUAUAUGUUUUAUUUCUUCCAAAGUGUUUAAACCAUAAACUAAUUUGGGGGCUGGGUUGUUGUGGGAUACAUGCUGUGUGUGAGGUUGUGAGCAUAUCUGGGCACUUUAAACCCAUGAAUAGUUUGAUAAUUUCUGGUUUUCAUCUCUGGCAUCUUUAAAUAUAAAGCAGAGGAUUUCCUUUUUGGGGGUUAAAAAUCUUAUUUUAAUGGACAGGGAGAAAAGGGGGCACAAAUUCUUCUUGUUCCAGACCUAGUUGAUUUUCUCACAUCAGCGCUCAACAAGGUAUUGAAGUCUUACAAAAACUGUAUUUAAUAAAAUUAAGCUGUCUGUCUGGUGUGCAAGUUCAUCUUGGUUUACUCAGUGUUGAGUGUUGACAAACUGAUUUGAAACUGGAUCACAUUUAUUUUAACCUGCAUCCAUUGCUCGUAUUAAUUCCAUAGUAUGUCAUAAUUAGAGCAUCUCCAAUGCUAAAAUCAUGAAUAGUUGGCUGUAAUGAUUGGCUAUCAUGAAUAUGAAAAAUUUUAGCCAAGGGUUUUGAUAUAUGCUCCAACGGGAUUAUCUAUAAUUAAUCUUAUAUAAAAUUGUACAUAAGAGUUUUCUUGGUUCAACAGAUAUAGCCAACACCAAACAUGGUUGUUAUUAAGGUGAUUGAGGGUUGGAGGGCUAGAAAUUUUUGCAUAUUCUCUAAAAUUGCCACAUAUAUGCAACUUAGAUCCUACCUAGACAAUUUAAGCUAAGAGUUUUUACCACUGGAGAUGCUCUUAGAAUCCUUGUCAAAUGUUUCAUCCUAUAUCUGUAAAUGUGGUCAGAAGAGCAGGUGUAUGUCAACUUACAUUUUAACAUUCUUUACAAGUAAAAAUGAUUUGUAGGAGCCCUCUGAUGGAAUUUAGAAGUAUGCAUAUCACAGUUGUUUUUUUAUUAUUGAUUAAUGAUAUUUUCAUACAUACUUUGCAGGUUGGGAAUGUUACAGUUACAUGUAAAAGGAUACCGUUGCUUGCACUUGAAUACGAACCACCAAGGUCAGAACUCAGAAGUGAUAACACAUAAUUUUCUUUUUUUUUAAUUUUUUUUCAGAUUAUUGUUAUACUACUAGCUGUAAAGGCUUCAUAACUUUAAUACUUUAUUGUAUUGCAGGACUAAAUCCUUCAAAACUAUAGAAGGAUCGCUGAGGCUUGACGCUAUAGCAAGUGCAGGAUACAAGAUUUCAAGAUCGAAGCUAGUUGAUUUAAUCAGGUAUACCAUGUUAGUUUGGGGUAGUUGUAGCUGUUGAAACUACCCAGUUACAACAUGGUCUGCUCCUGGAGAAAGAAGUUUUGAAAAAUUUUAUCCUGACGUAUAGUUGUACAUCCUCUACCUGAAUUCUUUUGACACUUCUGAUUACAAGGGUUAUAUAUGUAAUGUUUACUGUUUCUCCUUUUGAUAUGAGAAAAUGAGUCAACAUCUUGCUUCUCUCUCUCUCACACAAACAUAAGCCUGCAGCUAGAAGCCCCAAUUUGAUGUCCUAAAACCUGUAUACAAAAAACAAAAUCAGAAUUACGAGCGAAGAUACAAAUAAUCGAAACUAUACAACACAAAUCAAAAUGAAACUAAGACUAGGGUGUAGAGAUUUAAGCAUCAUCUAUUCUCCUUCAAUUAAAUUAUGGCCAGAUCGAAACCAUUUAUAAUUAAGACUAGUUAAUUAUUUAAGAUGCGUGAAUAUUUUUUUACUAUGCUGUCCAUCCACAUGGAAGAAUUUCUGUAUGUUUGCAAUAGAUCCUUACCACCUACAUUCUUUCUCCUUUUCAGUAAUGGGGAUGUACGCGUCAAUUGGGCUAGUGUGUCUAAAAACAAUACCACUAUAAAGACUGGAGACAUGAUCUCUGUCAGUGGCAAAGGAAGGUUAAAGGUAGAUUAGAACCCAGUGUCAUACAUCUUUGUUCAUAUAUAAUUUGUCAACAUUUGUUAAUCUCAGUCCUCAUAAAUUUUUAUUGUCCUAAUUACUUUAUUCUUUUGUUCAGAUAGGAGAAAUAAACUCAACAAAGAAGGGAAAGUUUGCAGUCGAACUGAUCCGAUAUUUAUAGAGGUAUAAAAGCUCAUCACCAGAUGUCUUUAUUUUACAUUUUUGCAAGUCGCUUUGUAUGUGUCGUUGCAUGUGCACAAUUUAUUAAUUUGUCUAUUUGAUAUUUUGAAUGUGAUACCACAUUUUUCUUCUAAUAUCAAGUCUGAUCAGAAGGGACCCUAUAGCCUUCUUAAAAAUCAGAAACCAUUUAAAACAAGUAGGAAAUACAGUGUUCGAUAGUGAAGAAGGCUAUUGGCUUCCCAUUUUGCAGUUAUGGUGGAGCUUAAUGUGAACCAUUGAGCCCAGCUGCAUGCUUUUAGUAAAAUACUUGUGUUUGAAUUCUGCACUAAUAGAAGCUAGUUGGGGAUUUGAAGGAUCAAUAAGUUGAUAAUUAUGUUUCGCUGAGUGCAUUUACUGCUCUUCUUUCCAGUCAAUUGUUUCUUCCAAAGCAGUUCAUAAUAGUCAAAGAAUGCACAACGUUGUUUCAAGGGCAGUUGGUCUUUUUGACAUCAUGAUGUGUUGCAGGUUAGAAAUGCGAUUUCCUCAUAAAAUAUAGUUUCUUUAGAGAUGAUCCCUGUAGAGUUUAGCUUUAGUGUGUGUUGACUAGGAUUAUGGACCAGAGUCUGCCUCAGAUUACCAAUGGAAGAAGUGAGGCCUCCUGGUUCCAAUCACGUAUUUUACGAUGUAUGUUUUGCUUUAGAUAAUAAUACCAAGUUCCUCUUGAAGAUAAUUGUUCUCACUGUUUUAAUCAUUCCAGGAACCUAAAAAAAAGAGGACAGAAGUGCAUAAUACAAACUUUGAAGGAUGAAUCAUGCGAGGCAAACGCUUGGAAGAGGCUAUUUAUUUGUCAUAUGAAGAACAGAAACUGAAGACAGGCAUAGUACUACUAACAUGAAAGUGAAGAAAAUUAUUUUGUGCUGAAUUUGGUAGUGCCAUUGAGAUAUUGAGGUAUGCAAUUAUCUUAAUCAUUCUGAGUACAUGGUUGACUUUGGAAGACAUUUUCGAACUACAAGUUGACUUUGACUCUGCAAUCGUAAAAUGUUUAUAAGUGGGCAUUUAUAUAUAUAUAAUCAAAUAAUACCAGUAGAUGAUUAAAAAAUAUAAAAUAUCUUGGUCUCCGGAAGAGGAAAAUAGUUGUUGGCACUAAUGGUGUUAAACGUGAAAAACUCUUUGGCAAUAUUGAUAUCUACUUCAAAUAAACCGAAUUGUCGAGAAAAAUGUUUGUUACCGUCUUAGGUGCCAACUAAUUACUCCCUCUCUCCCAUUUAAUUUUAUACGUUUCUUUUUAAGUGCUCGACACGUAUUUCAAUGCUCUUAUAAAAUAUAGUUUCGUAACUUAUUUUUGAAAUUUUUUUUUUCUGUAUAAAAAUAUAACAUCCAAACUUUAAUUCAGAAAAAAAAAAUAGAUUGCACAACUACACUUUGCAGGACCAUUAAAGUCCGUGCCGUGUCUCUGUCCCCCAAUAUAUACUACUCAGGGGGGACGAAGGGAGUAAGAAAGAUGGUCGAAUAAAAUAGACUGCAGCGAAAGCGAGAAUCAAACCCGGAAUCUGCUAUGUACUAUGUACUGAAGGGUGAUUAUUUAAUUGUGUAAAAGAUGGAGAAGGGGGAUAAUGUUCUUGAUGGCUUUUAUGAAAUAAAAUGGUCCAAAGCACCAAGUAGUGAUGACUCACAUGGGAAAGGUUGCAUUUCACUUGUCAUGAUCUGUGUUUGCUUUUCUUUGGAUUUUUGUGGCCUGGUCUGGCCCAGAAGCCCAACUUCACCUUCUUGCCCAGCCAACAGGCCGAGAAGUUGCUUGGCCCUACUCCUCAACAACCGUUUUCUCCUUCCUCCUUUUUGCAAAAAUACAAAAUGCUAACUAUUUUUAUCGAUAAUUAAGACCAACAUUUCAUAUCACACAUCUGCCUCUGCGUAUACAGUAAAAUUAACAGUUAAGAUUUCUUUUUAGGACGUAAUCUUAUGCCUACAAAUUACCGUCUUUUUAUAAAUUAAAACAUGUAUUGGAAAGUGACAAUAACGUGAUAGGUAAAUGGCUAAUUUUGAUUGGUGGUUAAUGUGUAUAUAGAUAAGAAUCUCAUUAUUAUUAAUGUGAGCUGAACCACAUGAACAAAAAUUUGAGAAUAUUUUUCUGGAUAACUAGUAUUUUCCUUUUAAUUAAACUCAGAAUCGAGGAACCAAAGAAAAUCACCUAUUUCAUUUUUUCACAAUUUGCUGAAAUGACCAAUUUUUUGAUUUGUCGAUUAUUUUUCAAUUGAACUGAUUUGUUCUUGUUUUCGUAUAUUUAUCGAUUGAGUUUGAUUCAUGUGGUUAUAAUUUAUAAUUUAAUAAUUAUCGAAGUUAUACGGAUAUGUAAUAACAAUAAUUUAUUCAAGAGAGAAAGAGAUCACAGAUUAAGAAUCAUGAUCAUUUUGAUUACCGUCUUUUGCAGAAAAUAAACCAGUUUUAGAUUAUAAUACAAGCUACAGAUUAUACAAAGCAUCAGAAGUAACAAAGUCAUUGUUACCUACUGCAAGGCAUAUUUUAACACUUUAGUCAAGCCGGCCAAGCUACUAUUUUAUACGCCUACUUUAUAACGUUUAACGCAUAUGCUCCACCACAUUUGAAUAUUAAGCAAAAUUCAACUGAACUUAUUCCCAAAUUUUAUAUUCUAUUUUAUUUGAGACAUUUUAUUUCUUAUAAAUAAACAUGAAGAAGUGCUGCUAUUUGAUUCCCUACUUUUCUUCAUUUGUAUUAAACAAAUUAUAUUCCAUAAUGCUUUGACAUAAUUGAUUCUGCCAUCCACAUUACAAUAAUAUGACCUAUGUUUUAAAGAAUAAAUAGUGGAUUCGGAACUCCAUUACUACUUAUUGUUUGUAUUAUGAACAAGCAAUUUCGAAAUUGCACUGUGGAUUUGAUUGAAGAGACAAGUUAUUCACCUAAAGUUGCUUUUAAAAGAUGGCACAUUUCUUUUAAAGUGAAAUGAAAGUUAAUUUUGAGUGCUCCUUUUCAAAAAUUGAUAAUUUGUUUCUGGAAAAGAUAUAUGUUGGAAGUGGUUUUUUUUAUAAAUAAAACAUAUUAAAUAUAUCUUAAGUUCUUUAUAUUUAAAAAUAUUAUAUAAAUAUGAUAUUGUUUCUCAAAAAUAAGUUUUUAUUUUCAUAAAAGAAGAUAGGCCAAACCUGUCAUGUAUCAUGUAUGCGAUCAUCUCUCACAUCGUGUUUUUUAAUAUUUUUUAUCAUAAAAAAAGAAAGUGAGAGAUUUAAAAUAACUUAGUGAUGUUUUGAAGAAAAAAAGGAUUUUUAGAAAUUUGCAAAGAGAUUUCUUAUAUAUUAUCCAACAAAAUUUCUCCUUUUUUAAAAAGAUUUGAAAAGAAAUUUUUUUUCCCUUCUUUAUCAUUUCUUUCUUAAACAUGGUAAAUGAUACUUUAUUAUUGCAGUAUAAAACAUUAGAAUUGACUUGAUGAUAUAAUUAUCUAUGUCAUAAUUUUUUUGGAGUUUGAACUAUCUAUGAUAUAAAAGAAUUACUUGAUACUAAUUAAACUAUUAUUUGUUACUAAGAAGCCGGAUUUAAGAUUCGGUCUAGACACAUAUUUGUAGAUAAUGAAUUUCAGAUGGAAAUUAAAUUUAAAAUCUGAAUUUAUGAAAUAAAAUUGGAGAGUAAUAAUAUUUUAUUCCGAAGAAAUGACACAAAAGUGUAGAAAAUACAUGUUCACAAAAAGUAGUCCCAAGUGCACUUAUCCUGUAACUAAAGAAACCCAAAUUUAAAAGCGACAGAGAAUAAUUCAUGUUUCAACUUUAUAUUCUGAAUGGGUUCUACACUUGAAUGAAGUGACGCUUACAAUAAAGAUUAAGAAUUAUAUUCGCUUAAUCAUGUAUUGUUGUACUCUAAGUCAACCUGUUUAGAUCUACUUUCACGUAAUUAAGCAAUCACUAAUAUAAUUCACAGUAUUACCAAUAAUAAAAUAAUACUAAUUUGAUUCGUACUACUUGAUUGCAGUUUUAUAUUUCCUGCCCGUAUUAAGAGUACAACCGUGCAUACACAGAUACAUUGAAUACUCCCUCUUUCAUGUUUAUCUUAGAAGAAGGAGAUUUAUUAUGUAUUUACAAAAAUUAUAAAAUAUAAUUUAAUAAUUUUUUUCAAUUUUUUAAAUAAGUUAAGAAUUUUUUUUUAUAUAUUUUAAAAUACAUGUCAAAUAAUGAAAAAAAAUUUGUUGAGUAAGUUGGAUUCACACUAGAAAUUUAAAAUUAAUGUCAUUAAUUUUUCUUUAUUCUCGAUGGUAGAUUAAAAUAAGAUAAAUUAUUUGUUUGAUUUAACUUAUAUGUAAUUUAUAGAAAAACUUUCAGGAGUUCAUGAGCCCUGCAGACACCGACGUGAUGAAGGGAAAUUAAGCUUUUUAGUUUAUUAUAUUUGAAUUUCUUUUGGAUUUAUUGCAGACAGUAUAAAUAAAUUCUUCUGGCUUGUUAUUUUCAAAUUUGCCGGACCUAAAUUGAUUGGUGUAUGGUACGAAGCUAUUGAUUACCUGCCCGAACUCGAGGGGAAUUGAUUGACUGUACAUGUCAUGAAUUAAUAGUGCCAUGCAAAUAUGCAAUCCUGUAGGGAAUUACUCUAUUAUUUUAUCUGUUUCCUGUUUUUUUAAUAAGUUUUUCCUGUGUAUUCCCAAAAAGAUAUAAGAUACUUAAGAUCUAAUUAAAUUUUGUUCUAAAAUUCAUAAUUUUGAAGAUUGCACUUAUGUACAGGGAUAUGGAUUAUGAAUCAUAAAUAUUAGCAAUAUAUGUAAAAAUAGUUUAGAUGGUAUUUGAUAUUUUUGUUUUUUCGCUCAUAAUGUAAAAAUAAUAAUUUUUUCAAAACAAGAUGAGACACCGUAUUUAUUUUCUAGAAUAAUUUAUAAAACAGAAAAGUAGAUAAAUAGCGAGGUUAAAAAUAAAUUAUAAUUAAAAUUUAUUGAAGUUGAAAAUUAAUAAUAAAUUGAGUAAUAUACGUAUCCCAAAUCAUGUUUCUGAAUUUCGUCAUCGAAUGACGUGGUAGAUAGAUAGUUGAUUUUAAUCUGUUGAUUUAUAUGCUGAAACAAAUCUACUAACUAAAUUUGGAAAAAUGUUAAUUACCAUUUUUCUACUAAAUGUGAAUUCAAAUUUAAAUUAUUGUUUUUUGUUAAAUUAAAUUCAAAAUUUAAAUUAUAUUCAAUUUAUUCGGAUCAAAAUAAAUCAAAUAUCCGUUCAAAAUAUACAAAUUACCCUAGUCACAGAUUAGAGCAAAAUAUUUUACACGUUCGGAAGAUCAAAAGUAUUCAUGAAAAAUAUGGUGAAAAAGUACAAGGACAGCCACUUUUUUUCUUGGAUAGUUGGACUUUAGACCCAAGAGUGCCCACCAUAUUUGAAUAAAAAUAUAUCCACUGAAAAAUAUAUUCUCAAUCUCAACCAUUCGAGAGCAUUUCUCGAGCAGCCAAUCAACAAGCAGGGACCCACAACAAUUACAAAAAGCAAAACAACGAGGGGUAGAGUGAAACCGCAAACUAUAGACUUCUGAUAGACUUCUGAGCAAUAAUAAGUCUAGUGAGAGAAAUGCUCAAUCAUUUGUAUUCCCUUGUGUCUCAUUUACUCCUCUCUUCCGGCCCGUUAUUUUUACCGCUGUCCGUUACUUUCUGCAAAAACUUUUUUUUUUCUAUUUUUAAAAGGUAGUACUCCCUCCGUUUCUUUUUUCUUUUCUUGUUUGUGAUGUCGGUACUGUUCAUAACAUGAGACAAAUUAUUAAUUUACAUCUAAUCUAUAAAACUAAAUAUAGUCAUGAGUGAUCUUGUUAGAUUCGUGUUCACAAGUACUUUAAUACAGUGAAGUUUUUAUAUUUAAUACUACUACGAAAUGAAAGAUAUUAACGACCAAAAUUAUGUAUCGGCAAACGUGAAAAGUACAAACAGGAAAAGUAUUUAGAGACGGGGGAGUACAACGUAAUUUUGAUAAUUAAUAUAAUAUUAAUUUAAAUAAAGGUAGUACUGUAAUUUUAUAAUAUUAAUUUAAUUUUGAUAAUUUAAUUUAAUUUCUUGAUCUCAAAAUUUUCCAAUUUAUUGAAAAAAUUAAAUUGAAUAUAAUAAAAUUUUAAUUUUAAUGCUUUCACGUUGAUAUGACUGUCUGCAAAUUUGAUAUCACCCUCAUGCAGUGUUCUAAAAAUCCCCGAUUUAACCGAUAAAUCCCCGAUUAAUCCCUUGCAAGGUUGGCCACCGAUCCGAUUUUUGAAGUCCGAUUAAUCCUUUUAUAUAUUUCAUAAUUGAAAUAUAUGUGAUAAAUUAUUAAAAUUAAAAUACCAUAUUACUUUAAAUAUGAGUAAUUAUAGAGUUUAUGAAUAUAGUAAAUAUAUUAGUUACUAAAUAGCUAAUAUAAUAAUAACUAAAUAUUAAAUAAUAUUUUAAUAUUAAAAUAAACCCGAUUUUAACUCCGAUUAAUCCUUCCGAUUAAUCCCCGAUUUUCGAUUAAUCCUUGAAUCGGUAGCUCAACCGAUUAGGUCCGAUUCCCGAUUUCUGUAACACUGCCAUCAUGUCUUGGGUUAAAUUCUGGGUUUAAUUACGCGAAAAGCUAGAGAUCUCAAAAUUUAUUUUCAAAAUUUUCUCUAAAUACUGAGUUGUCAAUAUAUAGAUCAUGAUUUUUUUUAAAUUAUAAUGCGGGAUCCCGCGCACAUAUAUACGAGCCGUUAAAUUAAAAUUUGUCAUGCGUUAUGUCACAUUAUUUCUAGCACUUCUUUUAAUUUAUUUAAUGACUCAAAUUUUUUUGUUAAAAGAAUUAUGAAAAAUGAAUUUAUUUUUUUCCUCACGAGAGUUAUGACGGUGAAUAAAUUAUACUCCUAUCAACAUAAAUUAAAGAAAUUUCAUCCAAAUUUAAGUGAAGCUAACUUAGAUUGUUUUUUUUUUUUCUUUUUCAAAACGAAGUAAAGCUACCUAAGUUAAAACUGAAAAGAAACAGCAAGUAAACAGCUAAGUACAUAUGAAAAGGCAAACAAACAAGCAAGCAUUCAAUCCCCAUUGUUUCUCUUGUUAUUCACUCAUCCAACCCAUACCUCCCAUCUCCCUCACCCUCUCUCUCUCCCAUCUCUCUCCCCAAAACUCACAAAUUUAACUAGAGAGACAGAGAGGAGGGAGACUCAUGGAAAACUCACCAAGACUCUAUCCAAAAGAAAACCCAUCUCCCUCCCACUCCCCCAACAGCCACAACAGCAGCACAAACAGCAAUGGCCUCUCCCCCGCCGUCGCAACUCCUCCGGCGACUCCCAAACCCGUUUCGAGAUCCGAGAACAACCCGUACCCGACGACCUUCGUGCAAGCCGAUUCCACCACUUUUAAACAAGUGGUUCAAAUGCUCACCGGAUCAUCGGAAACCGCCAAGCAGGCCGCAGAUCUACACCAAGUCAAGAACUCGAGCAUCCCGCCGAUCAGAACCAGCCAGAAGAAGCAGAGCUUCAAGCUCUACGAGCGCAGAAAUAGCCUCAAGAAUGGCCUCAUGAUUAACCCUUCC
rnacentral:lncRNA from 1 species